CCUACGGGGGGCAGCAGUGGGGAAUAUUGGGCAAUGGGCGCAAGCCUGACCCAGCAACGCCGCGUGAAGGAAGAAGGCUUUCGGGUUGUAAACUUCUUUUAAGGGGGAAGAGCAGAAGACGGUACCCCUUGAAUAAGCCACGGCUAACUACGUGCCAGCAGCCGCGGUAAUACGUAGGUGGCAAGCGUUGUCCGGAUUUACUGGGUGUAAAGGGCGUGCAGCCGGAGGGACAAGUCAGAUGUGAAAUCCACGGGCUCAACCCGUGAAAUGCAUUUGAAACUGUUUCCCUUGAGUGUCGGAGAGGUAAUCGGAAUUCCUUGUGUAGCGGUGAAAUGCGUAGAUAUAAGGAAGAACACCAGUGGCGAAGGCGGAUUACUGGACGAUAACUGACGGUGAGGCGCGAAAGCGUGGGGAGCAAACAGGAUUAGAUACCCCAGUAGUC
rnacentral:rRNA from 1 species